GGUAGAGUAUGGUUCAUAGUGUUGUGAUGGGAUAGGCAUGUUUGAGGUUGAUGGUUGUGAUGGGUUGAUAGUGUUGUGUUGUGAAGUAGGACCACUUUCAAAUGUAAUGUAUAACUCAAUGGUGCCAAGUUGUGACCAUUGUGCAUAAACAUCAAACAUGAGUUCAACAUCGUCGUCAUCACAAACCUUCAUCAAUUCAAAUCUGGUUGUAUUUUCACCAAAGAAAACAAGGUGUCGAUAAACUAUAUCAGUUAUCGUCACGUUGUCGUCGAACUG
rnacentral:lncRNA from 1 species